UGGGGAAUAUUGCACAAUGGGCGAAAGCCUGAUGCAGCAACGCCGCGUGAGUGAUGAAGGUCUUCGGAUUGUAAAGCUCUGUCUUUUGGGACGAUAAUGACGGUACCAAAGGAGGAAGCCACGGCUAACUACGUGCCAGCAGCCGCGGUAAUACGUAGGUGGCGAGCGUUGUCCGGAUUUACUGGGCGUAAAGGGUGCGUAGGCGGAUGUUUAAGUGAGAUGUGAAAUACCCGGGCUUAACUUGGGUGCUGCAUUUCAAACUGGAUAUCUAGAGUGCAGGAGAGGAGAAUGGAAUUCCUAGUGUAGCGGUGAAAUUGCGUAGAGAUUAGGAAGAACACCAGUGGCGAAGGCGAUUCUCUGGACUGUAACUGACGCUGAGGCACGAAAGCGUGGGUAGCAAACAGGAUUAGAUACCCUGGUAGUCCACGCCGUAAACGAUGAGUACUAGGGUGUAGGAGGUAUCGACCCCUUCUGUGCCGCAGUAAACACAUUAAAGUACUCCGCCUGGGAAGUACGAUCGCAAGAUU
rnacentral:rRNA from 1 species